rnacentral:rRNA from 1 species
ACAUACAGCUAUAGAUCAGAGAACACUGGGUAUACCGUCCGGUCCGCUAUACAUAAGCUCUGAAUCGAUAGGUUAGUAGUUAGGUGACCACUAGCGGACACCUACCGCUGUAUGUU